rnacentral:rRNA from 1 species
GGGUUGUGAGGUUAAGCGACUAAGCGUACACGGUGGAUGCCCUGGCAGUCAGAGGCGAUGAAGGGCGUGCUAAUCUGCGAUAAGCGCCGGUAAGGUGAUAUGAACCGUUAUAACCGGCGAUACCCGAAUGGGGAAACCCAGUGUGAUUCGUCACACUAUCAUUAACUGAAUCCAUAGGUUAAUGAGGCGAACCGGGGGAACUGAAACAUCUAAGUACCCCGAGGAAAAGAAAUCAACCGAGAUUCCCCCAGUAGCGGCGAGCGAACGGGGAGGAGCCCAGAGCCUGAAUCAGCAUGUGUGUUAGUGGAAGCGUCUGGAAAGGCGCGCGAUACAGGGUGACAGCCCCGUACACAAAAGCGCAUGUGCUGUGAGCUCGAUGAGUAGGGCGGGACACGUGGUAUCCUGUCUGAAUAUGGGGGGACCAUCCUCCAAGGCUAAAUACUCCUGACUGACCGAUAGUGAACCAGUACCGUGAGGGAAAGGCGAAAAGAACCCCGGCGAGGGGAGUGAAAAAGAACCUGAAACCGUGUACGUACAAGCAGUGGGAGCCCCACCACUAAGCCAGUGGUGAACUCCACAUCCGCAUCCUUUGCUGAGGAUACGGUUAACGGAGCGAAAGCGACGUUCAACCGCAAAACAAGCAGAGGGGGCUUAGUGGUGGGGUGACUGCGUACCUUUUGUAUAAUGGGUCAGCGACUUAUAUUCUGUAGCAAGGUUAACCGUAUAGGGGAGCCGGAGGGAAACCGAGUCUUAAUUGGGCGUUAAGUUGCAGGGUAUAGACCCGAAACCCGGUGAUCUAGCCAUGGGCAGGUUGAAGGUUGGGUAACACUAACUGGAGGACCGAACCGACUAAUGUUGAAAAAUUAGCGGAUGACCUGUGGCUGGGGGUGAAAGGCCAAUCAAACCGGGAGAUAGCUGGUUCUCCCCGAAAGCUAUUUAGGUAGCGCCUCGUGAAUUCAUCUCCGGGGGUAGAGCACUGUUUCGGCUAGGGGGCCAUCCCGGCUUACCAACCCGAUGCAAACUGCGAAUACCGGAGAAUGUUAUCACGGGAGACACACGGCGGGUGCUAACGUCCGUCGUGAAGAGGGAAACAACCCAGACCGCCAGCUAAGGUCCCAAAGUCAUGGUUAAGUGGGAAACGAUGUGGGAAGGCCCAGACAGCCAGGAUGUUGGCUUAGAAGCAGCCAUCAUUUAAAGAAAGCGUAAUAGCUCACUGGUCGAGUCGGCCUGCGCGGAAGAUGUAACGGGGCUAAACCAUGCACCGAAGCUGCGGCAGCGACGCUGAUGCGUUGUUGGGUAGGGGAGCGUUCUGUAAGCCUGUGAAGGUGUGUCGUGAGGCAUGCUGGAGGUAUCAGAAGUGCGAAUGCUGACAUAAGUAACGAUAAAGCGGGUGAAAAGCCCGCUCGCCGGAAGACCAAGGGUUCCUGUCCAACGUUAAUCGGGGCAGGGUGAGUCGACCCCUAAGGCGAGGCCGAAAGGCGUAGUCGAUGGGAAACGGGUUAAUAUUCCCGUACUUGGUGUUACUGCGAAGGGGGGACGGAGAAGGCUAUGUUGGCCGGGCGACGGUUGUCCCGGUUUAAGCGUGUAGGUGUGUGUUCCAGGUAAAUCCGGUUCACUUUAACACUGAGGCGUGACGACGAGGCACUACGGUGCUGAAGCAACAAAUGCCCUGCUUCCAGGAAAAGCCUCUAAGCAUCAGGUAACAUCAAAUCGUACCCCAAACCGACACAGGUGGUCAGGUAGAGAAUACCAAGGCGCUUGAGAGAACUCGGGUGAAGGAACUAGGCAAAAUGGUGCCGUAACUUCGGGAGAAGGCACGCUGACACGUAGGUGAAGUGAUUUACUCAUGGAGCUGAAGUCAGUCGAAGAUACCAGCUGGCUGCAACUGUUUAUUAAAAACACAGCACUGUGCAAACACGAAAGUGGACGUAUACGGUGUGACGCCUGCCCGGUGCCGGAAGGUUAAUUGAUGGGGUCAGCGCAAGCGAAGCUCCUGAUCGAAGCCCCGGUAAACGGCGGCCGUAACUAUAACGGUCCUAAGGUAGCGAAAUUCCUUGUCGGGUAAGUUCCGACCUGCACGAAUGGCGUAAUGAUGGCCAGGCUGUCUCCACCCGAGACUCAGUGAAAUUGAACUCGCUGUGAAGAUGCAGUGUACCCGCGGCAAGACGGAAAGACCCCGUGAACCUUUACUAUAGCUUGACACUGAACAUUGAGCCUUGAUGUGUAGGAUAGGUGGGAGGCUUUGAAGUGUGGACGCCAGUCUGCAUGGAGCCGACCUUGAAAUACCACCCUUUAAUGUUUGAUGUUCUAACGUGGACCCGUUACCCGGGUUGCGGACAGUGUCUGGUGGGUAGUUUGACUGGGGCGGUCUCCUCCUAAAGAGUAACGGAGGAGCACGAAGGUUGGCUAAUCCUGGUCGGACAUCAGGAGGUUAGUGCAAUGGCAUAAGCCAGCUUGACUGCGAGCGUGACGGCGCGAGCAGGUGCGAAAGCAGGUCAUAGUGAUCCGGUGGUUCUGAAUGGAAGGGCCAUCGCUCAACGGAUAAAAGGUACUCCGGGGAUAACAGGCUGAUACCGCCCAAGAGUUCAUAUCGACGGCGGUGUUUGGCACCUCGAUGUCGGCUCAUCACAUCCUGGGGCUGAAGUAGGUCCCAAGGGUAUGGCUGUUCGCCAUUUAAAGUGGUACGCGAGCUGGGUUUAGAACGUCGUGAGACAGUUCGGUCCCUAUCUGCCGUGGGCGCUGGAGAACUGAGGGGGGCUGCUCCUAGUACGAGAGGACCGGAGUGGACGCAUCACUGGUGUUCGGGUUGUCAUGCCAAUGGCACUGCCCGGUAGCUAAAUGCGGAAGAGAUAAGUGCUGAAAGCAUCUAAGCACGAAACUUGCCCCGAGAUGAGUUCUCCCUGAGACUUUAGGUCUCCUGAAGGAACGUUGAAGACGACGACGUUGAUAGGCCGGGUGUGUAAGCGCAGCGAUGCGUUGAGCUAACCGGUACUAAUGAACCGUGAGGCUUAACCUUACAACGCCGAAG